rnacentral:rRNA from 1 species
UGCGUAGGUGGCCAUGAAAGUCUGAUGUGAAAUCUCCGGGCUUAACCCGGAAAAUGCAUUGGAUACUAUGUGGCUGGAGGUUUGGAGGGGGGGACUGGAAUUCUCGGUGUAGCAGUGAAAUGCGUAGAUAUCGAGAGGAACACCAGUGGCGAGGGCGGGUCCCUGGACAACACCUGACACUGAGGCACGAAAGCUAGGGGAGCAAACA